rnacentral:misc_RNA from 1 species
UACGGAGGGUGCAAGCGUUGUUCGGAUUUACUGGGCGUAAAGCGCGCGCAGGCGGAUUAGCAAGUCAGAUGUGAAAUCCCGGGGCUCAACCCCGGAACUGCGUCUGAAACUGUUAGUCUAGAGUCUCAUAGGGGGCAGGGGAAUUUCACGUGUAGGGGUAAAAUCCGUAGAGAUGUGAAGGAACACCCGUGGCGAAGGCGCCUGCCUGGAUGAGCACUGACGCUGAGGCGCGAAAGCGUGGGGAGCAAACAGG